CUGAUAUUGAUCAUAUUUCUACCUAGUCUAGAAACAAUCUCUUUCAACUCAACCCUAUUAAAUGUAAAGAAAUGAUACUAUCCUUUACUCAACCACCAGCUGUAUAGGAGCCAAUACGUAAUAGCGAUCACGGAGAGGGUAACGAGUAUUAAAUCCCUUGGAGUUACAUUAAGUAAUAAAUUGAAGUGGACGGAUCAUGUAAAUACAGUUACUUCGAAAGCAUCAAAGCGCUUGUAUCUAACACGGCAACUUAAACGUGCUGAUGUGGCGAACGUGGACUUGGUCGACUUUUAUUUUAGUUGCAUAAGGUCGGUCUUAGAAUAU